rnacentral:misc_RNA from 1 species
AACGCACCUUGCGCUCCCUGGUAUUCCGGAGAGCAUGCCUGUUUGAGUGUCACGUGAAUAUCUCUUGCCCCUCUGGGGUCUCUGAGGAGUUUGGGUGUUGCCGCCUUUGGCUCGCCUUGAAAUGCAUUAGCCUGUGCCUCUGAGCCGGACUCUGGUGUGAUAAACAUCUACGCUGCAGUGCCGUGCUUGGUUUGCUUCUGCGCGGGCUCACAGCUGUCGACUGAACCCCGACAUCUUUUUUUUCUAAUGCUCUGGCCUCAAAUCAGGUAGGACUACCCGCUGAACUUAA